GAACGCGAAGAACCUUACCCGGGCUUGAAUUGCAGAGGAAGGAUUUAGAGAUAAUGACGCCCUUCGGGGUCUCUGUGAAGGUGCUGCAUGGUUGUCGUCAGCUCGUGCCGUGAGGUGUCGGCUUAAGUGCCAUAACGAGCACAACCCCUCUCUUCAGUUGCCAUCAGGUAGUGCUGGGCACUCUGGAGACACUGCCACCGUAAGGUGUGAGGAAGGUGGGGAUGACGUCAAAUCAGCACGGCCCUUACGUCCGGGGCUACACACGUGUUACAAUGGCCGGUACAGAGGGACGGUGUAAUGCAAAUUGCAUCCAAUCUUGAAAGCCGGUCCCAGUUCGGACUGGGGUCUGCAACCCGACCCCACGAAGCUGGAUUCGCUAGUAAUCGCGCAUCAGCCAUGGCGCGGUGAAUACGUUCCCGGGUCUUGUACACACC
rnacentral:rRNA from 1 species